rnacentral:rRNA from 1 species
AGUGAACGCUGGCGGUGGGCCUAAUACAUGCAAGUAGAACGGCAGCACGAGAAGAGCUUUCUCUUACGGGUGGUGGGGGACGGGCGGGUGAGGCGUACAUCAGCUUCUAUUUAUUCGGGGGGGAUAACGUGGGGAGACAGAUGAUAAUACAUCAUACGGCCUACGGCUGAAAGCAGAUUAUCAUGGGACCUUGCGCGAACGACUGAGCCGAUGUGGGAUUAGUUAGUUGGCGGGGUAAAGGCUCGCCAAGGCAGCGAUCCGUAGCUGGCCUGAGAGGAUGGGCAGCAACACUGGAACGGAGACACGCUCCAGACUCCUCCGGGAGGCAGCAGUGGGGAAUAUUGGACAAGGGGCGCAAGCCUGAUCCAGCAAUCCCGCGUGGGUGAGGAAGGUCUCCGGUUGGUAAAGCCCGUUUGUUGGGAAAGAAAAGCAGCAGGUUAAUACCCCGCUGUUCUGACGGUACCCAAAGAAUAAGCACCGGCUAACUUCGUG